rnacentral:lncRNA from 1 species
UGAAGAGCUUCUUUUUGAAGACGGAAGUAGCAUGGGGAGUCUUAGAUAUGCUGAAUUGAACCAAUCUAAACAGUUGGCGGUUGGUUGCUGUCGGAAGUAAUUUUGAAUCAUACUAUAUUUGCUUUUCAAAAACAAGUGAAACAAGUGUCAGUAGCUCUUCUCUAAACAACGCUCAUUUGGGUCUCCCAAUAUAUCACUAUCUCAAGAUUUUUCAUUUAUCUUUAAAUAUUUCCUAAUAGUAAAUUUUGAGACCUCUGUGAUGCAACAUAACUGGGGACUGAGAGAUACUUCACAAUGUGAGAAGCACAUGGACUAGAUGACAAAUGCUUUGGAGAAAAAUUCUCAUGAAUCCAGAUCAUGCCAAUUUCCAGUGGACCUGUGUCUUCAAAACCCAAAUCAUUCUACUUGCUAGUAAUCAACUAGAAAGACCUUGUGGUUUUCUUGUUGAGUUUGCUCUUCCUGCAAUGCCUGCUCAAUACUACUCCCAGUGAAAUUUAAAAUAUAUAUAUAUUUUCAUCUAUGAGAAGUUAUCAAAUGUCUUCCCCCACAUGCUGAUAGUUCUUGCCUGAAUCCUUGUAUGGCAAUGUACACUCUGUCAUGUGACCUUUGUGCCCACUGACACGAUAAUCAUUAAAAACAAUUGGAUUGUACUCCCUGCGAAGUUUGAGGCUGGGGACAGAAGCUUGUCAAGUAUAAAAACAUCUGUGAAUACGAUAACAUCUAUAGCUUAAAAAUACUCAUUCCUCAACGAACUUGAAGUAAAUGACUAAAGUAAGUGAAACUGAGUCUAUUUGACAAGUCUUCUGAUAUGAUUAAAAUAUUGUGUGAAGAAAGGACUUGAUGGAAAAAUGUGAUGUCAAAGCCUGUUUUUCAAAGUUUAAGUUUCAUUCAACGCCAAAUGAGCAUGUGAAAAUCCCCUGGAGAAUACCCACUCUGAGGUCCAUUCUAACCUGAAACUGUUUUUUAAUUGGUACUUCUACCAAAUCUAAGUUUAACAAUAGGGCAUGCAUUGACUUUUCAGUAUGAUGCCCAGUCCAUUUUAUUCUGUGGUAUAAAUAGUUUACCAUACUCUAGGAAAUAUAUUUUGAAUUUAACAAAGCUUUAUGGAGUGUCCAGUUCAUUCUGGCUACAACAGGACAAAAUCCAACUGGGGAUAUUGCUCCUGGCAGGUUCUCUGCUGUCUUGCCUGAUCUUGCUUUGUGAACCUUCCCCUAUAGGUCCUUAUAUUAAUGGGCCUCACUUUCCUUUAGAGAUAGGAGUUUACACUAACAGUUAAUUAAUGUAACAGUGUUAAGUGUUUCUAUGUGCAAAGCAUUAAGCUAGGUGUUGUCAUUUUUCCUCUCCUUACUCUUUCACAAAAAUAAUAAGAGCAAUUUGGAGGAUGUUAUCAGUUCAGCCUGCUAUAACUAUACCUUAGACUGGGUAAUUUAUAAACAACAGUUAUUUGUUGCUGAACUUUCUAC